GACCAGAAAGUCACGGCUAAUUACGUGCCAGCAGCCGCGGUAAUACGUAGGUGGCAAGCGUUGUCCGGAUUUAUUGGGCGUAAAGGGAACGCAGGCGGUCUUUUAAGUCUGAUGUGAAAGCCUUCGGCUUAACCGAAGUCGGGCAUUGGAAACUGGGAGACUUGAGUGCAGAAGAGGAGAGUGGAACUCCAUGUGUAGCGGUGAAAUGCGUAGAUAUAUGGAAGAACACCAGUGGCGAAAGCGGCUGUCUGGUCUGCAACUGACGCUGAGGCUCGAAAGCAUGGGUAGCGAACAGGAUUAGAUACCCUGGUAGUCCAUGCCGUAAACGAUGAGUGCUAAGUGUUGGAGGGUUUCCGCCCUUCAGUGCUGCAGCUAACGCAUUAAGCACUCCGCCUGGGGAGUACGACCGCAAGGUUGAAACUCAAAGGAAUUGACGGGGGCCCGCACAAGCGGUGGAGCAUGUGGUUUAAUUCGAUGCUACGCGAAGAACCUUACCAGGUCUUGACAUCUUCUGCUAACCUAAGAGAUUAGGCGUUCCCUUCGGGGACGGAAUGACAGGUGGUGCAUGGUUGUCGUCAGCUCGUGUCGUGAGAUGUUGGGUUAAGUCCCGCAACGAGCGCAACCCUUAUUGUCAGUUGCCAGCAUUUAGUUGGGCACUCUGGCGAGACUGCCGGUGACAAACCGGAGGAAGGUGGGGAUGACGUCAAAUCAUCAUGCCCCUUAUGACCUGGGCUACACACGUGCUACAAUGGACGGUACAACGAGUCGCGAAACCGCGAGGUCAAGCUAAUCUCUGAAAGCCGUUCUCAGUUCGGAUUGCAGGCUGCAACUCGCCUGCAUGAAGUUGGAAUCGCUAGUAAUCGUGGAUCAGCAUGCCACGGUGAAUACGUUCCCGGGCCUUGUACACACCGCCCGUCACACCAUGAGAGUUUGUAACACCCAAAGCCGGUGAGGUAACCUUCGGGAACCAGCCGUCUAAGGUGGGACAGAUGAUUAGGGUGAAGUCGUAACAAGGUAGCCGUAGGAGAACCUGCGGCUGGAUCACCUCCUUUCAA
rnacentral:rRNA from 1 species